GGUCAUUUAGAGGAAGUAAAAGUCGUAACAAGGUUUCCGUAGGUGAACCUGCGGAAGGAUCAUUACCGAGUUAGGGUCCUCUGGGCUCGACCUCCUACCCUUUGUCUACCUUACCAUUUGUUGCUUCGGCGGAUCCGUCCCCUCGGGGACCGCCGAGGGGUCUAGGCUCCUUGGCCCGCGUCCGCCGGUGGCCCACAACCAAAACUCUUGUUUAAGCGUGUCGUCUAAGUACAAAACAAAUAAGUAAAAACUUUCAACAACGGAUCUCUUGGCUCUGGCAUCGAUGAAGAACGCAGCGAAAUGCGAUAAGUAAUGCGAAUUGCAGAAUCCGUGAGUCAUCGAAUCUUUGAACGCACAUUGCGCCCUUUGGUAUUCCGAAGGGCAUGCCUGUUCGAGCGUCAUUAUCACCCCUCAAGCCUCCGGCUUGGUGUUGGGCCUGGUUUUUCAGUAAACCGGCCUCAAAGAUAGUGACGGCGUCCCAGAUGGAACCGGUACGAGGAGCUUCUAAUCAAGCAUGUACGCGGCGUGAAUCUGUGGGCGGCGGUCUUUAACCACUACUCCUCGGAGUACUUUCUUUUUUUAAGUGUUGACCUCGGAUCAGGUAGGGAUACCCGCUGAACUUAAGCAUAUCAAUAAGCGGAGGAAAAGAAACCAACAGGGAUUGCCUCAGUAACGGCGAGUGAAGCGGCAACAGCUCAAAUUUGAAAUCUGGCUUCUUCGGAGCCCGAGUUGUAAUUUGUAGAGGAUGUUUCGGGUACCGCAACGACUUAAAUUUCUUGGAACAGAAUGUCAGAGAGGGUGAGAGUCCCGUCUGGAGUCGCGGUAGGGCCCAUGUGAAGCUCCUUCGACGAGUCGAGUUGUUUGGGAAUGCAGCUCAAAAUGGGUGGUAAAUUUCAUCUAAAGCUAAAUAUUGGCCAGAGACCGAUAGCGCACAAGUAGAGUGAUCGAAAGAUGAAAAGCACUUUGAAAAGAGAGUUAAACAGUAUGUGAAAUUGUUGAAAGGGAAGCGCUGGCAACCAGACUUGUCUGCGGAGGUUCCCCCUUGCAUCUGCUUGGGCUACUCCUUCGUAUGCAGGCCAACAUCGGUUUUGGCGGUCGGUUAAAGGCCUUGGGAAUGUACCUUCCCCCGGGAAGACUUAUAGCCCAGGGUGUCAUGCGGCCUGCCGGGACCGAGGAACGCGCUUCGUGCUCGGAUGUUGGCGUAAUGGUUGUCAGCGACCCGUCUUGAAACACGGACCAAAGUAGAGAUGAAGAAAC
rnacentral:rRNA from 1 species